GGGAACCUCACCCGGCCCGGACACCGCGAGGAUUGACAGACUGAGAGCUCUUUCUCGAUUCGGUGGGUGGUGGUGCAUGGCCGUUCUUAGUUGGUGAGCGAUCUGUCUGGUUAAUUCCGAUAACGAACGAGACCCCAACCUGCUAACUAGCCCUCGGGUCCUGCUUCUGUUGGGCCCGACGGAAUGAUUCGCUUCUUAGAGGGACUCGCGGCGCCUAGCCGCACGAAGGGGGGCGAUAA
rnacentral:rRNA from 1 species